UCGCCUGUCACAGAGUCUGUCACAUCGUCUGUCACCCCAGGGCAUCAGGCGUCUCCAAUGUGGGGUGCCCUGUGGGACCUCACGGGCUGUGUCCGCCUGGCGCUGUGGCGGGGGGCACCGCAGGCCUCGGGAAGCAGCGGGAUGGCCCUGGGGUCGCUUGGCUGGUGGUGGGCAGGCUGGGCACAGCGAGGGCCCUGCGGGGUGAAACAACCGGUCUGUGGCUGGAGAGUGCUGUGAGGGGGCAGGACAGGGUGUCCCGGAGCCCCCCAGUGUGGGCAUGCAGCUGGGACCGGGAUUCACCAUCCCACAAAUUGCAGCCAUGCAGCACUUGUUUAUAAGAUUUGGAGGACUCAGUCUCCUUUGUGGGAUCUGUUUUGUAGUUCCACCUCCCAUGAUGACAGUUCUCAUAGCCCUCGUGCUUCCACUUUCCGCGUAAAAGUCUUUUCCUAAAUUGUUCUCUGCAUGGGGACAGACUGGCAGUUCUAGGCUUAGCAUGUUUUUAUUUGGGUUCUUCUCUGACAACGUUUGGAGAGUCUCCCUUAACAUGCUUCCCUGCCUCAACAGGAGAUGCCUGUUAUGGUUGUUUUGCAUAGCUGGCAGUGACAAGAUAUGCAGCAUCACAAGGAGUUGUCGUUUGCCUGUGCUAGUUUAGCAUUCCCCAGCCCCGGACUAUUGCCAGCCUCCAUUCUACAUGGAAGUGUGAAGUACAAAAUAAUGAAUAGUAAUCAAAGUGAAAUGAUUGUUCAUCUAGUAUUUCAUCUUCUGAAAAAUAUAAGAACAUCAGAAACUGAAACUAUAAGGCUACAGAGACAAUGAUUACAGGAUGUGCAAUUAAUGGAACAUACAAGCCAUAUGAUCUCUGCAAGACAGCUGAACAUCUUCAGUGAAGGCAUGGGUCUUUUGUGCUUGCCAUUUCUCUUCGGAGCUGAAAGAAAGUGGUUUCACCCUGUGGCCUGGCGUGCAGUGUCCCCAGUGGCAUGCUUUUCAUGUCUGUCUUCCACCAGACUCUUCUCCAGAUACAGGGCGAAGAACUACUGAAAGUACGAGUGUCAUUUGCUUCUACAUCAUAUAUAGUGGCAGCCGUGACAGCGUUAUAUUCUGCAGCAGUUAUAUGGAGUAUAUUAUUUCCAAUGUCAGGUUGGAAGUCUUCUAUUUCAGGAUGUGUCACCUUACUCUGAGAGAUCGCCCCAGAUCACGACUCCAGAAGCACCCAGUGCAGCAGACUCUCCAAUGGUAUUUACCAGGUCAUCCUGAGAGUGAAUGUGGAAAGAAUCCUACUGAUCUCUCUUUCUAGAGUCAGCUAUUAGCCCAGCACUAACAAAACAUGAAAACCCAUGUGGGAUGGGAGAGGACUAUGGAUAGAAAAAGAACAAGGAAAAAACUUUCUGUGGAGAACAACAUGAAAAGGAAGGAUGUGAGGGUUUCAGUGAGUAACAAGAAACCCAUCAGGGACUGUAACAGCACACCCUCUUCCUCAAAGAUAUAUACAGAGCAGGGGGAAAUGCUCAGUGAUGCUCCAACUAGGAUGCUGGAAGACACAAGGCAGUCACCAGGACCACUUCCCCUGACUUCCCCUUCUUUGUGACCUGGAUGACCAGGAAGAGGUUUUACAAAGUGGUGGUAUCAAUGAUAGCUUAUAUAUAAAAAAAUAUUAAAAGGUGUAGCCAGGAGUGUAAUAAGAUGGUUAGACCUUAAACAGAGGCUAACCUUGACAAAACCGUGAGAUGCUGAUAUGCCAUUUAGGAGGCUACCCCAGUACACCUAAGGACAGAAUUUCCUCACCAGCUUUAAAACCCAUUUACCAAAGAAUCAGCAAACUUAAUGUCCUUGCUUUGAUUUUUAAAAAUUGAAUUUUGCAUCAGUACUUCAAGUCCUAGACAGGCAAGGAAGUUCUUUGACUUUAGAGAACUAAUUAAAUUAUCAUCAGAAAAAUCAGAUGAAUUGGGGUGGAAGAAGGGUAAUUUACUGUUUAAGAACUCCUGCAAUAGAAGUUGUCUUAAUAUGCACCUCGUAAUUUCAAAAGAAGAAAAAGGUUAACUUUCUGGACACGGAAGUGAUUGCUGAGUGACCUCUCAUUCUCCAAAUGUACACCGAGGAGUGGGAGAGGCAUGAAAGUAUGAAAAGAUCUUACACCAAUCAUCUUUAAUGUCCUUCUACAGUCCUCUUACAAAAGCAGAAGAAAUAUAUCUCCUACUUAUCAAAGUGAAGAGCAAAGAGUAAGAAGCACUUCUAUAAUAAAAAAUAAAGAUUUUUUUUAAAAAUCACUUUUAUUGUUUUUCCUUAUAACUUUUAAAAGCAGACAUUUGGCCAGCCCAGUUUUACAAAUUCUCUUGGAAAGGUUAUUCUUUCCUCUGAGUUAACAUACUAAAUUAUGCUUUUUAGCUUACAUUUUGCAACAUGUGAGGACUGUUCAGAGGGCAAAUUAUUAUUUAGUAAAUAAUUAGUAAUUUCAUUAGGAAGGCUUGAAAAUAAACCUCUUACUGUUCAGUUUGCACAUAUUUAGUUGAUAGAUUAAUUUAUUUUUAUGCAAAAUCUACAUUUUUUUUUUCCUGAAACAAAUUAGUAUCUUUGCUAAAUAAG